rnacentral:rRNA from 1 species
UAAACUAAAAUAUUUGAUAAAUUAUUAGAACACGAAGUUAAAGGAGCUAGUUAUUAUAUAUUUAUAGAUGAUGUGAUGUUGCAAAAUUGUCAAGUAAUAAUUAGGGGUGAUAGGCUUACCACAUUUAACGAUAGCUUGAUGGUCAAGAAAUGUACUAGUACAAAGACACUCUUCAAGUGAUAAGGUUUCAAGAGGAAAACGAAUAAGUGAUUUUGGAUUUAUAUCAUAUUUAACCAUACAUAUGUAUUUAAUUUAACAUUAAUUUAUAAAAGUUGUUUUUAUUAGUGACCAAUCUUUUAACUUAACUCGAAUCUAUAAUGUUUAUAUUAGUAAUUAAAGAAGUAUUAAUAAUGAACUCGGCAAUAAGUCUUCCAACUGUUUAUCAAAAACAUAGCCAUAUGAAAUAAUAUAUGGUCAUUUCUGCUCAAUGAACAUUAAAUAGCCGCAGUACCCUGACUGUGCUAAGGUAGCGCAAUCAAUUGUCUUUUAAAUGAAGUCCAGUAUGAAAGAAACUAUGGAGGGCUACUUUUUCCUUGAUAAUUAUUGAACUUACUUAAAAAGUGCAAAUUCUUUAGGUAAAAUAAAAGACGAGAAGACCCUAGAAAUUUUAAGGGGUAACUUUUUGUUGGGGCAACAAAGUAGUAAUUAAUCUACUGUAACAACACGGAAAUGAUAUUUAGCAAGACUAAAUUACUCUAGGGAUAACAGCAUAAUUUGUGAAAGUUUGUGACCUCGAUGUUGGAUUAAGGAAUUUCCAUUUAGAAG